rnacentral:lncRNA from 1 species
GUCAGCGUUUGGGGCACAGAUGCUAGUGUUCGAGCUCAGAACUUGGAACCGGGAGGCCCCUGUCAACAACCUGGGUCAGAUGGGAGGUACCCCGAAGAUGACUUCAGUGUCCGUUGUUAUCUGUGCGAACACCCGUAGUUCAGAGGUGAGGAAGAAACUUCACGAAGAGUGAGAAAAACCAAGAACGGGCUUCCCUCUGGGUCCUCCGCACGCCCCGCACCAACGUAGAGAAGGCGAGCGCAUCCCGCGAGGGAGGGAUACGACUGGGAGACAGCACGCUGCGAUGGUGUCCGACGCGCAGACGUCUCGAGCACAGUCCUCGCGAUCUGUGGGGGGAGAGAAGAAAGCUCCAUCAAAGCCCGUAAGGGGCGUUCGGCUGGCGUUCGUCAGCGAUCCAUGCCGCGAGUGGCGCCCUGCCCGGAACGGUGAUCGUCGCAAAGAAGACCUCGUAACGUCUGCCUGUGUGGUGGGCCACCGCUCACCGGGGCGCGUGCCGGCCUGCUGCACCGCGAUGGGGCCGGAGGCGCACGUGACCCGGAGCCGCCUGCCUCGAACCCAGGAGGGCUUUGUCCGCUGCCUGCUUCCGAGCUUACGCGUCCUCAAGGCGCUCUCGCUCGUACGCUUCCACAUUGUGAUCUCCUCCAGCUUAGGGAAGAGGAGGAUACUCGCGUACAGAGGAAGAAACGGGGACGUGCUCUUCUCUCACUGGCUCUUCGUAAUCGUCAAGGAUCACCGUCCUGGUCAACGUAGAGCAUGUGCGUGUGUGAAGUUCCCACCGAGGAGACGACGCACGUUGGGUGCGACGGAUCGGAAGUUCCUAGAGUGA